ACGGGAGGCAGCAGUGGGGAAUAUUGCACAAUGGGGGAAACCCUGAUGCAGCGACGCAGGUGCGGGAUGACGGCCUUCGGGUUGUAAACCGCUUUCAGCAGGGAAGAAGCCCUUCGGGGUGACGGUACCUGCAGAAGAAGUACCGGCUAACUACGUGCCAGCAGCCGCGGUAA
rnacentral:rRNA from 1 species